rnacentral:lncRNA from 1 species
UUCCCCUCACAGCCUUCCUGAUUGGCUGCCUCGGCGGGGCCACGCCUCAGAGGGCGACCCUCCGGGUCAUAAGUAGUGGGCUGCUGACCCGGCCAGCCCAGAGGAGGACGUGCGGUACCGUCCGAAGCGCCGGCCACCGGCUGGCGUGGGUGCCGGUCCCGCUCCCUCACGCGUCCCGCCCGCGCCCCUCCGAGACCCCGAGCCGCCUCUGUGUCAUGCACCACCUCGUUGGCCCCGGUCCGUCCCCGCGCUCCUGCCUCCUGCGCCCUCCGGGACCGGGACCGCAGAGUUCCAAGAAGCGAGUGGUGUUCGCGGACUCCAGGGGACUCUCGCUGACGUCCGUGCACAAGUUCGAGGACCCCGCGGCGCCCCGGGGACGCGCGCCGGGUCGCGGCUGGGGCGCCUCGUCCGCCUGCCUGCGGCUCCUGCCCAGGGCCGCCCUGUGCGUGCGCGCCCGCUCCUCGUCGCCCUCAGGGUGACCGCGUGGCCCCGGAUCUGCUGCUCUACUGGGUGCUCAGCCGCUUUCCCGUGACAGUCACUAAGGUCGAAACCACCGCUGGACGUCGGGCUCUCAGCGCUGCUCAUCAAGGCGCUCAUCAACUCUCCGAAGCCUGAGGUUGUUGCCCGGGACGCGCGUGUUCCCCCUCCCAGCACCGUCCGAACCGCCUGCCCCUGCACUGCGUGUGGGACACAGGAUGGACCCGAGACCCCGCCUGCGGGAGAACCGCACUGCCCUUCACUCUGCGGGGCAAGACACGCUGGAGCAGAUCAGGGAAACAGAAACCAUACUUUCUUCAGCUGUCUCGCUGUGAUCAACCACUGUGCCCUGCCAUCAGGAGGCGAACUGGACUGGGGAAGACUGGGGAGCGGCUCCAGCUGAGUCUGUGCCUGUUGAGCUGGGAGAGACGAGACAGAGGAACACACAGGCGGAUGGGGUGGUGUCGCUGAUAUUUCUUGGCCGGGCCGGGCCUUGAGCUAAGUUCUUCACACCCCGAUUCUCGCUGUCCACCACAGCAACCUCCAGAGGACGCCGCAGCCUCCGCCCUCCCGUCACUCCCCACUCCUGACCUCAACCCCCUCCCCCGCCCCCCGCC